UACGGUUGCAAAGCUGAAACUUAAAGGAAUUGACGGAAGGGCACCACCAGGAGUGGAGCCUGUGGCUUAAUUUGACUCAACACGGGAAACCUCACCCGGUCCGGACACUGGAAGGAUUGACAGACUAAAGCUCUUUCUUGAUUCAGUGGGUGGUGGUGCAUGGCCGUUCUUAGUUGGUGGAGUGAUUUGUCUGGUUAAUUCCGAUAACGAACGAGACUCUCGCCUGCUAAAUAGUUUUCCAUACGUUACUUUAUGGAACCUAAAACUUCUUAGAGGUACAAGUGGCGUUUAGCCACACGAAACAGAGCAAUAACAGGUCUGUGAUGCCCUUAGAUGUCCGGGGCCGCACAUGUGCUACAAUGAAUGCAUCAACGUGUAUCAGCCUCGCCCGAAAGGGUUGGGGAAUCCGCUGAACGGCAUUCUCAGUAGGGAUUGGGGAUUGCAAUUAUUUCCCAUGAACACGGAAUUCCCAGUAGGCGCCAGUCAUCAGCUGGCGUCGAUUGAGUCCCUGCCCUUUGUACACACCGCCCGUCGCUACUACCGAUCGCUCUUGUUAAUGAGCUUGUCGGAUUGGACCCGGUGAGCAGUCGUUGCGCUUCAUCUCCUCGCGGGGUGGGCCUUCGUCUGCGAGCUUUUGGUGUAUGCCGAGAAGAUCGGCAAAUUAUCUGGAGUAGAGGAAGUAAAAGUCGUAACAAGGUAUCCGUAGGUGAACCUGCGGAUGNNNNNNNNNNGAUACGUACUACUCUGUGCGGUGGAUCACUCGGCUCGUGUGUCGAUGAAGAGCGCAGCUAGCUGCGAGAAGUAAUGUGAAUUGCAGAACCACAUUGAAACAUCGACAUCUUGAACGCACAUGGCGGCCUCCGGGUUACUCCGGAGGCCACGUCUGUCUGAGAGUCGGAAUUGUAGUGCUUUAAAAAUCGGCGGUCACCACCAAAAUAUAUGUCGUAUACAAUAGACACGAUAGGUGGAUGUCCGCGAGGGUUGCUUCUCGGUAGAAAGAUACAUACAAAAAGUAAAAGAGAAGCCGCCGAGUGGCGAGUUGUUGAAAGUAGCCCAGCGAAACAACGGAACAAACCCUCGGAAGAAGAAAGAAAAAGACGUGCUGUA
rnacentral:rRNA from 1 species